rnacentral:rRNA from 1 species
CCUACGGGAGGCAGCAGUGAGGAAUUUUGGACAAUGGGCGAAAGCCUGAUCCAGUCAUUCCGCGUGCAGGACGAAGGCCUUCGGGUUGUAAACUGCUUUUGUACGGAACGAAAAGCCUUGGCUAAUAACCAAGGUCCAUGACGGUACCGUAAGAAUAAGCACCGGCUAACUACGUGCCAGCAGCCGCGGUAAUACGUAGGGUGCGAGCGUUAAUCGGAAUUACUGGGCGUAAAGCGUGCGCAGGCGGUUAUAUAAGACAGAUGUGAAAUCCCCGGGCUCAACCUGGGAACUGCAUUUGUGACUGUAUAGCUGGAGUGCGGCAGAGGGGGAUGGAAUUCCGCGUGUAGCAGUGAAAUGCGUAGAUAUGCGGAGGAACACCGAUGGCGAAGGCAAUCCCCUGGGCCUGCACUGACGCUCAUGCACGAAAGCGUGGGGAGCAAACAGGAUUAGAUACCCUGGUAGUCCACGCCCUAAACGAUGUCAACUGGUUGUUGGGUCUUCACUGACUCAGUAACGAAGCUAACGCGUGAAGUUGACCGCCUGGGGNGGUACGGCCGCGAGUAGAACGUACGAAAGGAAAGUUAGUACGGCGUGAGACGUAGCCGACGGACGACGACGAGGGGAGGUUAGGG